rnacentral:rRNA from 1 species
AGCGAACGCUGGCGGCAGGCCUAACACAUGCAAGUCGAACGAACUCUUCGGAGUUAGUGGCGGACGGGUGAGUAACACGUGGGAACGUGCCUUUUGGUUCGGAAUAACUCAGGGAAACUUGUUCUAAUACCGAAUGUGCCCUUCGUGGGAAAGAUUUAUCGCCAUUGGAGCGGCCCGCGCCUGAUUAGCUAGUGGGUGAGGUAACGGCUCACCAAGGCGACGAUCAGUAGCUGGUCUGAGAGGAUGACCAGCCACACUGGGACUGAGCCACGGCCCAGACUACUACGGGAGGGAGCAGUGGGGAAUCUAGCGCAAUGGGCGAAAGCAUGACGCAGCCAUGCCGGGUGAAUGAUGAAGGUCGUAGGAUAGUAAAAAUAUUUCACCGGGGACGAUAAUGACGGUACCCGGAGAAGAAGCCCCGGCUAACUUCGUG